rnacentral:lncRNA from 1 species
GUCCUAUGAUCAUUUUGGUCAAGGAGAUGAAUUAUAUGAAAAUUAUAUCCGCAUGGGUUCUAAGGAUGUUGUUCUACACAUUCGACCUAUCCGGUCGUCGGGUAUCAUUGCUAGAUGGUCACUUCGAUUGGUACAAAAAUUUAUUUCUGUGCUACCGGCUUAGGUUCGGACCUAUGAGGUCAUACACAUUAGAGUUCAUGAUCCGAUCGGAUGGUUGAUCAAUGAUUAAGAAUCAUUCUAGGGUUAAAUGAUCAAUACGAUUGACAUUUAACCCAGUGCAAGUAUUGCAGGAAGAUCGAUUAGC